UCAAUAAGCGGAGGAAAAGAAACCAACAGGGAUUGCCCUAGUAACGGCGAGUGAAGCGGCAAUAGCUCAAAUUUGAAAUCUGGCCCCCAGGCCCGAGUUGUACUUUGGAGAGGAUGCUUCUGGUGACGUGCCCUCCGAGUCCCCUGGAACGGGGCGCCAAAGAGGGUGAGAGCCCCGUACGGUCGUGCACCGAACCUCUGUGUAGCACCUUCGACGAGUCGAGUAGUUUGGGAAUGCUGCUCAAAAUGGGAGGUAAACUCCUUCUAAAGCUAAAUACUGGCCAGAGACCGAUAGCGCACAAGUAGAGUGAUCGAAAGAUGAAAAGCACUUUGAAAAGAGGGUUAAACAGUACGUGAAACGAUUGAAAAGGAAGCACUUGUGACCAGACUUGGGCUCUACAAAUCAUCCGGCGUUCUCGCCGGUGCACUUUGUUGGGUUCAGGCCAGCAUCGGUUCUGCUGGGGGGACAAAAGCUGAGGGAAUGUAGCUCUUUCGAGAGUGUUAUAGCCCUUUGCACCAUGCCUUCAGUGGGACCGAGGUUCGCGCUUCGGCAAGGAUGCUGGCGUAAUGGUUAUCAGUGGCCCGUCUUGAAACACGGACCAAGGAGUCAAGCAUUAGGGCGAGUGUUUGGGUGCUAAAACCCGCACGCGUAAUGAAAGUGAACGUAGGUGAGAGCUUCGGCGCAUCAUCGACCGAUCCUGAUGUUUUCGGAUGGAUUUGAGUAAGAGCCUUACCGCUUGGACCCGAAAGAUGGUGAACUAUGCUUGUAUAGGGUGAAGCCAGAGGAAACUCUGGUGGAGGCUCGCAGCGGUUCUGACGUGCAAAUCGAUCGUCAAAUAUGAGCAUGGGGGCGAAAGACUAAUCGAACCGUCUAGUAGCUGG
rnacentral:rRNA from 1 species